rnacentral:rRNA from 1 species
AUGCAGUCCUACCUGCACGAGCUGCCCUCCACCUACAACCUCGUGAUGCUUGACCUCGUCAGGCGUGGCCGCCUCCUCUACAAGCACAAUGAGGGCCGCCUUCUCGUCAAGAUCUACUUCAAGCGCGCCGGAGAGCCCCUCGAGCUCAAGUCACCGCCGGAUUCGAGGGUGGAGCCCGAGCCUCCACUGGAGCAUGAAUCAGACGUGCAGGAGGUGGAGCUCCGCAUGGAUCAUGACAUGGUCGUCGCGGGGGCAAGGAUCAUCAAGUCUGCAGGCGGCAUCAGGGGAGGUGCAGUGCCAGCUGCUGGACAUGGUUCACCCUGGGUUGCUGCUGAUGCACAAGGUGAAUUUCGAUGCCAAGACGGAGUAUGA